AACGCUAGCUACAGGCUUAACACAUGCAAGUCGAGGGGCAGCAGGGAGAUAGCUUGCUAUCUUUGCUGGCGACCGGCGCACGGGUGAGUAACGCGUAUCCAACCUACCCCGUACUCAGGGAUAGCCCGUUGAAAGACGGAUUAAUACCUGAUGUUCUCCUUUAUCGGCAUCAUUAUUGGAGCAAAGAUUGAUCGGUACGGGCUGGGGAUGCGUCUGAUUAGCUUGCCGGCAGGGUAACGGCCUACCGGGGCAACGAUCAGUAGGGGUUCUGAGAGGAAGGUCCCCCACAUUGGAACUGAGACACGGUCCAAACUCCUACGGGAGGCAGCAGUGAGGAAUAUUGGUCAAUGGAGGCAACUCUGAACCAGCCAAGUAGCGUGCAGGAUGACGGCCCUAUGGGUUGUAAACUGCUUUUAUGCGGGGAUAAAUGAGCCUACGUGUAGGUUUUUGCAGGUACCGCAUGAAUAAGGACCGGCUAAUUCCGUGCCAGCAGCCGCGGUGAUACGGAAGGUCCGGGCGUUAUCCGGAUUUAUUGGGUUUAAAGGGAGCGUAGGCGGUCUGUUAAGCGUGUUGUGGAAUGUGGGUGCUCAACAUCUGCACUGCAGCGCGAACUGGCGGACUUGAGUUGGCUGAAAGUAUGCGGAAUUCGUGGUGUAGCGGUGAAAUGCUUAGAUAUCACGAAGAACUCCGAUUG
rnacentral:rRNA from 1 species